rnacentral:rRNA from 1 species
GCAAAGAGGAGGAGAACGCUUUGUCUAGAGAUCGCGGAGUGCACGAAGGUGGGAUAGAGAUCGGUGGCUUCGGGUAGGAUAGGGGGCGGCCGCCUUGUGAGGGUGACGGUGUCGGCUUGUGACAGGGUUAGAGCUGUGGGUUUACUCGUGUGGUUGCACUCUCCGGCCUAGCUCGGGUAGGGGAGGCGGUACCAGUUGCUGGGCGGCGGGUGCUACCGUGACUGCGGGGGUUAAGGGGUACGGUUGCGUACGCUCUGCCACAGUAACCUAGCUACCGCGCGCACGAUAUACGCACACGCGCACGCGAACUUACGAUCCCGCCGCACGUCCUCGAGGGGGCAGAGGAGGGAAAAGGAGAGAGGGAGACGUGCGCCACCUCGAACUCGACCCGCCCUCCGACUCGCCCUCAAGAACCCCGUCUCCUUCUUCCGCACCUGCAACCCCUCAUCAACGCACCUUGCCACCUUCCUCCCGCACUUGCCACCCUACCCGCGACCGACCGACCAUGAACGAAAUACUAUACUUCCAUACAUACUACGACCAUCCAUGAGCACUUGUACCACUUUUCCCUAGCCACGACGUCGCCGUCCGCAGACCACCGAUACGUCACCGUAGGCGAUGAAUCUGUGCAUCGGCUGUUGGCACUCUUCUGAAACUAGAACUAUAUAAUCUACAUUCGGGGUAUGUGGUAUCCUCCAGGAGGAAAACCACUAUAGUCAGCGGUCAGCCUACUAUUUUUUCUUCUUCUACUACUAAGUCAAUAGUUCUCCUACACACUUGAGACUUGGACUUCUUGUCCUUUAUUUUGUACUCCUUCUAUUACCUUCUCUUCUUCUUCGUCUGUAAUCCUAUUACUUUCUCUUACUCAUCUAUUACUCUUACCAUUACUUUCUCUUCUGCUCUACGUGGAACCGAUUCAUUUCUCGAUCUGGACUUUAACGGUUAUUUCCCUUACUCCAGGGAAAGAGAUAGCCACGGUAGAAUCGACGGCCGCUAAUCCACGUAUAAAGCGCUCUAUUAGAGCAAGAUUGUACAGAGACUAAAACUUAAAAAAAAAAGACGCCUAAAGUCUUAUAUCUUCCGUCGAAGCGUCUCCCCAGUGGCUGCUCGUUCUCUUUAUGACAACAUACAAGUACUUGUUAAAAGACAACGAGACUGACUUGCCUAACAGAGACAUUAAGAACAGACAAACCCACCACGGGUCGACGGUUAUCUUCUGUUCGACAGAAGAACGGCUUGUUGCGGUGUUAAAGUAUCAACAUACAAUAAAUCCUAACAGAGACAACGUAUGCUGGACCUCAAUGUUCUCCAGGCCAUGAUUAGAACACAUACAUAGAAAAGACAUAUGUGGACUAAAGUUUCGUAGAUAAUAUCAUGUAAAACAAAGAAACGAACCAUGUUCUACAUAACGUUCACAACAAGUAACAAAAGAAGGAAAAUACAUUUAUAUAUGAUGUCUGGGAGGUGUCCGAGUCAAAAGAAGGAAAACAGACUUAUAUAAUCUGUAAAUACAUACUACAGGAUCGUCAAGCUACUUUCGU